rnacentral:rRNA from 1 species
AUGUGGAGCGUACACAGGUGCUGCAUGGCUGUCGUCAGCUCGUGUCGUGAGAUGUUGGGUUAAGUCCCGCAACGAGCGCAACCCUGCAUUCAGUUGCCAACGGUAAAGGCCGGGCACUCUGGAUGGACUGCCGGCGACAAGCCGGAGGAAGGUGGGGAUGACGUCAAGUCAUCAUGGCCCCUUAUGUCCAGGGCGACACACGUGCUACAAUGGCCGGCACAGCGGGAAGCGAGGGGGCGACCUUGAGCGGAUCCCUCAAAGCCGGUCUCAGUUCGGAUUGCAGUCUGCAACUCGACUGCAUGAAGUUGGAAUCGCUAGUAAUCGUGGAUCAGCCAAGCCGCGGUGAAUACGUUCCCGGGCCUU